UUUUUUUAAAAGGACUUAUUUUGGCUAACUAGACAAAGAUGAUUAAUAUAUGAUGUUAAAUAUUGUAUUUGAAUCCACUAGAUUAGAACAAGUGUAUGUCAGCAAUGAUAGCGAACAAAGAUGUUGCUUAUGGUUUAUACUUGCCAACUUGAUUUUAUGGGAUUAUUUGUGUUUGAUGUGAUUGGCUAGCUUGCAUUGAACAUAUCCUGCAAGGACUUGCACACUCGAGAUAGAUAAAGAAUCCAUAUGCUAAGCCGAAAUUCUAAAGUGUCUAUAUAUGAUUGAAGGAUCUUAGAGCCUCAUGUUUACUCAAACAUUCCUCUGUUCAUACAAACAAUUUAAUACUUUCUCGACAGACAUUGAAGAUCAAUCAGCUCGGCAGCGUCGUAGUAGGGAAGAGAACAAUGAGAAGAUGCCCUUAUGUGUCCGAAUACCAGAAGAAGAUCGUUCUGCUAUAGAGAUAUGUCUCAGCAUCUAAAAACUAAGGAUCUAACUUUGACGGCUCUCAUUCCAUAAGCUUCCAAUCUCUCUCUCACUCUCUCUCUCUCUCUGAUAUUAAUCAGACCCUUAUAGGGUUAUCAUCUUUUUAAGAUUCUCGAUUUUUGUCGAGGUGUUAAUGGUCUAAUUGAAUUUUCCUUUUUUUUUCCUUUCUUCGUUUAGUUUCAGGAAUCAGCUCCUCGCUUGAAAUCUUCAACCGUAUGACCACACUCUUUGUUGUUUUAGCUUUUCACACUCUUUGUUGUUUUAGCUUUUUCUCGCUAAAUUUGUUAACACUGAUAUUGGUACGUGUGUUCAUCUUCUUCAGUUUGGAUAUGUUAUCUCUGAUCUGAUACUGGUUUCUUCAAGCUUCCUGCUUUGUAUCCCUGUUUGAAGAAGCAAAUAUACUGUGUGGAAAAGAUAGCGGAUUGGUUAGUUGGUGUUUUUUGGGGUAUAAAGGUGAAGUCUUUGCGUGUGUAAUCUGAGAUAAGGAUUGGAUGGUGGGAAAAGAGGAUGCGAUGGGAGAAUGAUGAGGAUGCUCCUGGUUUUCACUGUUUGAUGUAUCAUGUUCAUGCCUUUAUCUUGAUCGUUAUGUUUAUGUACAAUACUUUGAAACAUAUAGAGUGUGAGUAUGAUCUCAAGACAUGUAUAGAUUUUUCCAAAGUGAGUUUCACAA